GACGAACGCUGGCGGCGUGCUUAACACAUGCAAGUCGAACGGAAAGGCCCUGCUCUUGUGGGGUGCUCGAGUGGCGAACGGGUGAGUAACACGGGAGUAACCUGCCCUUGACUUUGGGAUAACUUCAGGAAACUGGGGAGAAUACCGGAUAGGAUCUCCUGCUGCAUGGGGGGGGUUGGAAAGUUUCGGCGGUGUGGGCUGGAAUCGCGGCUUAUCAGCUUGUUUGUGUGGUAGUGGCUUACCAGGGCUUUGACGGGUAGCCGGCCUGAGAGGGUGACCGGCCACAUUGGGACUGAGAGACGGAGCAGACUCCUACGUGAGGCAGCAGUGGGGAGUCUUGCGCAAUGGGCGGACGCCUGUGGCAGCAACCCCGCGUUCGUGAUGACCGCUUUCUGGUUGUAAACCGCUUUCGCCUGUGACGAAGCGUGCGUGACGGUAAUGGGUAAAGAAGCCCCGGCUAACUACGUG
rnacentral:rRNA from 1 species